GAUUUGGCUAGUCAUUUUGAAGUGUAAAGCAGAUAAUCACUUAUAUAAGCCCAAAUUAAAAUAAAUUAAAUUGUAAUUUGACCAGCACUCUUUCCGAAUUUAAUACAUCCUAAUUGUUAGGUUAGUAGUCUGCAUGGGCUUGGGUCCUGACAAUGCUUUUAGAGCAACCUAACAGACUAAGUGUGAAACUAAGUGCUGCAUUUGGGAAGUCAGUGGGAGCCACCUCUAAAACUCGUGACUCACCUAGUGCUCCAAGAUUCUGGACUAUUGGGUUACGGUCUAGCCCUAAUGAGAAUGUCAGGGAUUUGAGUGCUAUUACUAACAAUCUUAGUGAACUAUUACUAACAUCAAGAGGUUGACUUUUGGGCAUGUGGUUAGACCCAAAUCCACCCAAUUAUUAGGCCAGUAGUCCAUGCACACGAGUCAUGAUAGACAUACCUUCAGAGAUUGCUUCCAUGGCU
rnacentral:misc_RNA from 1 species